GCUCUCGGCCGUCGCUGCCCAACGAGCUUCGAUAAACUGCUCUUUUACUGACACUCUGCAGGGACCAUCCGAAAGAGAAAAUGGGGGGAGAACCCAGGACUCUGGCGUUCUGUUCUCCUAAUAAACUGAGGUUACGAUUGCAAGGUGUACGUAUGUGGGCGGUUGGACCAAUGCUGCCAUCUCGUGGCUGAAACCCCCAACAUACCGCUGCCUGCCUUAAGACCGCGCUGUGGUUUGAGGUGGUUUUAGGCGCGGGCCGCAGACGGGUGAAGCAAAGGAAGAUUUAAUUUGUCAGCCCAGUUAGACCUCCCCAGAUUCCCUGGUUUACUGAAUGGGGCAGGACUUAUGAAAACUAUAGAGAUGUGCAAAAGAACAACCAUCCUUCUCUCUGCUACUAUGAAUUUUGACUUUUUAAGAUUCUACAUGUAAAUGAUAUAAUGACAGCACCCCUGGACAUAGAGAAGUUCUCAGGCCAGGGGUGGAAUCUCUAGCCGCCGGCCUGCACCACAACCACAGCAACUCCAGAUCCAAGCCACAUCUGCGACCUACACCACAGCUCACAGCAACACCAGGUCCUUAACCCACUGAGUGAGGCCAGGGAUCAUACCUGAAUCCCCAUGGAUAUUAGUCGGGUUUGUUACUGCUGAGACAUGAUGGAACGCCCACCAUUUCUUUUUUUAAGUUAAAGUUUUGAUUUUAUGUUUAUCUUUUAUUAUAAAAACUCAUUAUAGAGUUUUAUUUUUUUCCACUAUAGCUGGUUUACAGUGUUCUGUCAAUUUUCUCCUGCAUAGCAAGGUGACCCAGUCACACAUACAUGUAUACAUUCUUUUUUCUUACAUUACCAUGCUCCAUUACAAGUGACCAGACACAGUUCCCAGUGCUAUACAGCGGGAUCCCAUUGCUUAUCCAUUCCAAAGGCAGUAGUUUGCAUCUAUUAAACCCAAAUUCCCAGUCCAUCCCACUCCCUCCCCCUCCCUCUUGGCAACCAGAAGUUUGUUCUUCUUGUCCAUGGUUUUCUUUUCUGUGGAAAGAUUCAUUUGUGCCAUAUAUUAGAUUCCAGAUAUAAGUGAUAUCAUAUGGUAUUUGUCUUUCUUUUUCUGACUUACUUCACUCAGUAUGAGUCUCUAGUUCCAUCCAUGUUGCUGCAAAUAGCAUUAUUUUUUUCUUUUUUUUUAUGUCUGAAUAGUACUCCAUUGUGUAUAUAUACCACAUCUUCUUAAUCCAAUCCUCUGUCGAUGGACAUUUAGGUUGUUUCCAUGCCUUGGCUAUUGUGAAUAGUGCUGCAAUGAACAUGUGGGUGCAAGUGUCUUUUUCAAGGGAAGUUUUGUCUGAGUAUAUGCCCAAGAGUCGGGUUGCUGAGUCAUAUGAUAGUUCUAUGUAUAGUUUUCUAAGGUACCUCCAUACUGUUCUCCAUAGUGGCUGUACCAGCUUACCUUCCCAUCGACAGUGCAGGAAGGUUCCCUUUUCUCCACACCCUCUCCAGCAUUUGUUAUCUGUGGCCCUUCUGACUGGUGUGAGUGACUUUAUGUUUAAAAGUUAACACAUCUUGAGUUUUCUGAGCCAACAAGCAUGUUCUCUAACACCAUAUUCUACAAGUGGAUAUUGAAAUAAAUUUUAGCUAAAAUAUAUCAACAGAAGAAUUCCUACUAUUCCUUAAAUACAUUUUUGGUUUUUAACAUUCAGUUAAUUUAAAUUCUUCUAGUGCUUACAUUGAAUUAUGGUGGUUUUUCCCCCUUUUUCCCCAGCAGUUACUGAAAUAUACUUGACAUAUAAUAUUGUACUACUUUUAGUUGUACACAUAGCGAUUUCAUAUUUGUAUACAUAGCCAAAUUAUUACCAUAAUAAAUUUAGUUAACACUCAUACCCUCACAUAGUUAUAAUUCUUUUUCUUGUGAUAAUAACUUUUAAGAUCUACUCUCCUAGCUAAUUACAAAUAUACAACAUUGUUAACCAUACUCACCAUGCUAUACAUUACAUCCCUAGAAUUUAUCUUAUGACUGGAAGUUUGUACCUUUUGCUUACCUUCACCCAUUUUGCCUCUCACCCCCAAACCCCACCUCUGGCAACUACCAAUACGUAUCUAUGAGUUUGGGUUUUCAUUUUUGUUUUUUUUUGUUUUUUGUCUUUUUAGGGCCGAAUCUGUGGUAUAUGCAGCUUCCCAGGCUAUGAGUUGAGUUGAAGCUGUAGCUGCCAGCCGAGCAGUGUCUGCCAUCUAUACCACAGCUUACUGAGCCACAAUGGGAACUCCAAGUUUGGGGUUUUGUUUUUUUUAAGAUUCCAUGUAUAGAUGAGAUCAUACAGGGUUUGUCUUUCUCUUUCUGACUUAUUUCACAUAAUGCCUUCAGGGUCCAUCUGUCAUUGCAAAUGGCAGGAUUUCCUUUAUUUAGAAAUAAUUUUAUUGAAAUAUAGUUGUUUUACAACAUUGUUCCUUCAUUUUUAUGGCUGAAUUUCCUCUGAUAUAUAUUGAUAUACUGAUGUCACAUUUUCUUUAUCCGUUCAUCCAUCAGUGGACAUUUGGGUUGAUUCCAUAUGUUGGCUGUUGUAAAUCAUCCUGCAAUGAACAUGAAGGUGCAGAUAGGUAUCUUUUUGAGAUAGUGGUUUUUCUUUCUUUUGAAUAUAUACAUAGAAGUAGGAUUGCCGGAUUAUAUGGCAGUUUUCAAUUUUUUGAUGAACCUCCAUACUGUUCUCCAUAGUGGCUAUGCCAGUUUACAUUCCCACCUACAGUGAACAAGGGUUCCUUUUUCUCCACAUCCCCACCAACAUUUGUUAUUUCUGGGUUUUUUUGAUGAUAGGCAUUGUAAGGUGAUAUCUCAUUGUGUGUGAGUGUGUGUGUGUGUGUGUGUGUGUGUGUGUGUGUGUGUGUUUGGCCAUGCCUAAGGCAUAUGGAGAUUCUCUGGGUCAGGAAUUGAACCCAUGCCAAAGCAGUGACCUGAGCCAUAGCCAUGACAGUGCUCCAUCCUUAACCACCAGGCUACCAGGGAACUCCCCCACCUAUAUUUUUUCUUCUAGGAGUUUUAUGGUGUCUAGUCUUACAUUUAGGUCUUUAAUCCAUUUUGAGUUUAUUUUUAUAUAUGGUGUUAGAGAAUGUUCUAAUUUCAUUCUUGUACAAGUAACUGUCCAGUUUUCCUAGUACCACUUAUUGAAUAGAAUAUAUUUUCUCCAUUGUAUAUUCUUGCCUCCUUUGUCAUGGAUUAAUUAACCAUAAGUGUGUGGAUUUAUUUUGGGGCUUUCUUUUCUUUUCCAUUGAUCUAUGUGUCUGUUGGAAGCACAACUGAUUAUUGUGUAUUGAUUUUGAAUACUCCAAAUUUACUGGAUUUAUUAGUUGUAAGAGUUUGUGCAUGUGUGCGUGUGUGUGCAGUCUUUAGAGUUUUCUUCCUGUAGGAUCAUGCCAUCUGCAAACAGUGAGAACUGUCCUUCUUCCUUUUAGAUUUGGAUUUCUUUUUUGUGGGGGCUCUGAUUGCUGUUUACAAUAUUUCUAGUACAAUGUUGAAUAGAAGUGGCAAGAGUGGACAUCCUUGUCUUGUACUGAAUCUUAGGAAAAAAUUAUCAGUUUUUCUGCAUUGAUUAUGAUUUAGCUGUGACUUUUCAUAAAUGGUCUCUGUUAUGUUGAGAAAGUUUCCUUUUGUACCUAUUUUGUUGAGAAUUUAUAUCACAAAUAAAUGUUGAAUGUUGUCAAA
rnacentral:lncRNA from 1 species